ACUCAGGGCAAAAUGUGAAAUUCUCUUUCUAGGCUGAAUCGUUGAGAAAGGCUGGUUGAACAACGAAGAUCAUUUGGAGAGCCAAGCCAUUGCUCCGUGUUUAUCAAAUUCCAAGGGGGUGAUAAUCACAAAGACCUAUUGCAUGAUUUGUUAUGCCUAUUGACCGUCAUGCCUGUAUGUACCUAUGCCCACGUACGCCUGUGAGUUCAGAAUAGGGCACUGGAGCCCCUGGGACUGGAGUAACAGAUGCUUUUGACAGCUGCACCUUCGAGCCAUCUCGCCAGCCCCAUGAAUCCAAGCUCUUCCACUGCUGAAACAACAUUCAGAAUGUGGAGCUGGGGAGUUGGCUCGGUGGUUAAGAGCACUUGUUGCUCCUGCAUAGAAUGUGGAGUUCAAUUCCCAGCACCCACAUGGCAGCUCUGUUAUUCCAGUCUCCAAGAGCUAUGGUGUCCUCUUCUGGCCUUUGCGGCCCAUGCACAGGAUGCAGACAUACAUCCAUACACAUUU
rnacentral:lncRNA from 1 species